rnacentral:rRNA from 1 species
CCUACGGGAGACUGCAGUGAGGAAUAUUGGUCAAUGGGCGCGAGUCUGAACCAGCCAAGUAGCGUGAAGGAUGACUGCCCUACGGGUUGUAAACUUCUUUUAUAAGGGAAUAAAGCGAUCCACGUGUGCCUUUUUGUAUGUACUUUAUGAAUAAGGAUCGGCUAACUCCGUGCCAGCAGCCGCGGUAAUACGGAGGAUCCGAGCGUUAUCCGGAUUUAGUGGGUUUAAAGGGAGCGUAGAUGGGUUGUUAAGUCAGUUGUGAAAGUUUGCGGCUCAACCGUAAAAUUGCAGUUGAUACUGGCAGCCUUGAGGACAGUUGAGGUAGGCGGAAUUCGUGGUGUAGCGGUGAAAUGCUUAGAUAUCACGAAGAACUCCGAUUGCGAAGGCAGUUUACUAAACUGCCACUGACACUGAUGCUCGAAAGUGUGGGUAUCAAACAGGAUUAGAUACCCGGGUAGUC